rnacentral:lncRNA from 1 species
UGAUAAUGUUUUUUCACAACACAUUUAAAUAGAAAUUGGCCUUUAAAAUCAGGCAACACCAGAUUUCACCAACUGACAGUCACACACCUGAAAAUGUUGGUGCCAUGUGACAGAUGUCACACCUCACCGUCUCACCCCUGGGUACAUGCCACUGAACUGUAAUCUGAGUGUGUGUCUGUACCGUUGGAAAAGGACAGUUCACCCUUAUAGACUAAGACUCGAAUCUUCUCCUUAGCACCCAUGGGUGGCUCUAAAAGAAGGAUAGUUAUAUUCUCUUCCUGCUGGAAGUGGUCAGAUAUGAGCCAGGCAUUGGCUUAGCGCAAGCCUCUUCUUGUUGAUCUAAGUCCACCUAGGCCCUACCUGUGCAGAGCGACUUGGAGUGUUUCCAGAUUCCUUUGCCAAAGGAGGCCCAUUUCCCAGCUGGCAGAGACGUCUGCCAACGGUGUUAUUGCCCAGAACUAACCCUGCCCAGAGGCAGAGAAAGCUGACUCUCAUCUGGAUCCUAGCCCCACUCUGGGAUUUCCAUAUCACAGCUGGCCAUGGUUGCUUCCUUGAGUCUCAGCUCUGUGGCCCCGCCAUACUUGCCACAGCUGCCUGGAAAGAACGUGGAGAUGCAGAGCGGGAGUCUGACGCUGGCUCUCCCAGCACAGCUAGGCACCUGAGCUCUGUGUCUCCAUUUUUCCAUUCUGUAGACAGGGAAAAUGGCCUAUUUCAUUUACCUCGUGGUGCACUCUGAGGCUGAAGUGAGUUACUAAGCAUAGCUGUCUGUCUGGGAGGAGGUAACAGACACCUCCCAAUGUAGCGUUGUGUUUAUCAUCGCUCCUGAGAGAGUUAAGAAAGGAAGAGGCUAUGCAUUCUUGUCCUUAGCAAGCUCAACAAUAGGAGGGGCCCUGAAACACAGAAUGCAGCCUGACUUACAACCUGAAAGGACUUAGACACCCAAAGAACCUUCUGGAUGUACCCUGCAUAACCUGAAACCCUUGACUCAUGUAUGCCAACACUAAGUCUUCCUCCGUAAUAUAGAUUCAGGGUAUGUGUGUGGUCUUUCCACUGUCUGGUAACAACAUCUUGAAACUGGUCAAAACUUGAAUGUCAAUAGCUCAGUCACUCAGAAUAUACAUGAUUCUGCACUUGGAAAA